AGACCUCCCCGGUCCAGGGAGCAAACCGAGUUGUGCAGGCUGAGGGGCAGUCCGUAAUCUCCGUCUUGU
rnacentral:SRP_RNA from 1 species